rnacentral:rRNA from 1 species
UACGAAGGGGAGCUAGCGUUGUUCGGAAUUACUGGGCGUAAAGCGCACGUAGGCGGACUAUUAAGUCAGGGGUGAAAUCCCGGGGCUCAACCCCGGAACUGCCUUUGAUACUGGUAGUCUCGAGUCCGGAAGAGGUGAGUGGAAUUCCGAGUGUAGAGGUGAAAUUCGUAGAUAUUCGGAGGAACACCAGUGGCGAAGGCGGCUCACUGGUCCGGUACUGACGCUGAGGUGCGAAAGCGUGGGGAGCAAACAGGG